rnacentral:ribozyme from 1 species
AGUAAAUGCAUUCCGCUGAUGUUGUUUGCUAUGUUUCUGUUUUGAUCAUCCAACAAAAAAAGAAAGAAAGAAAAGAUCUCGUUGUUUCUUUGCA